GCGGACAUGAGAGACGCAUCGGUCGUGAAACCAAUGGUGUUGAACAAAACGGGAGCGUAAAACAUAAUCACAUUGAUUCCGGUGAGCUGCUGAAAGAAGGGAAUCAUAAUGGCCAUGGUGAGAUGCGGCCGGUAUUUACGGCGGAGGAGGUUUUUCCACGGAUGCUCUAUCGACUGAGACUCUUUACUAGCUGCUACUAAAUCGUCAAACUCUUGGCUGACGUCAUCGACGCCACGGAUUCUUCUGAGCUUGGUUUUCGCCUCCUCGUGCUGGCCUCGCUCGAUCAUUGAGUUAGGAGUGUCAGGGAGGACCAAGGAGCCGAGUGUUAUGAUAAGAGCAGGGACCACUGCACCGCCUAGACUGAGCCGCCAUCCCCAGCCGCCUUUGAUUUUGGCAAAGAAGUAGUUGAGUACUUCGGCUACUAGGAUUCCGAUAGUGAUCGAAAGCUGGAAGCCGAUGUUUAGCGCUCCUCUAUAUUUGUAUGGAGCCAUUUCAGAUAGGUAAAGUGGCACAGACUGUAAAUAAAAAAUUAUAACAUGUAAACAUGUAGGUUAGUAACGUUAAUAUGUUAUAACCUCAAAUAAAUACGGUCCGAAUAUAUGACCUUUUCUAACUAAAGAUUCCUAUCAAUGAGUGAUCAAAAGUUACAUUAUACGAUAUGACGUCAAAAACAAUAUAUUAACUGAUUAAAUCGUCUAAAAUAAGGGGAAAGAGACGUCACGGAUUAAAAGAACAGACCAUGUGCAGUUGUGGAUAUUCAGCCGAGAACAAAUCAAUAAGAAAUUAAGUAAUUGUUGUAUCAUAUAAUAAAAUGUGGAUAGUAAUGAACGUCGUUGUAAACUGAUAGUAAAAGCAAGAGAAAAAUAAUAAUGUCAACUUGACCUAAUUAUUUGAUGAUUAUGUUCAAUGGAAGUGGUUGGUCCAUGACUUUUGUAAAACCAAGGUACAUUUAUGGCGAAAUAAAUAUAAGUUUCAGUUCACUGAAUUUUAUAAGAUACCACGUAGAAAGUUUAUCCAAUUUGAUUUUUUCUACUGGUGACUUAAAUAUGAAAAUGAAAAAUUUAUAAUUUUACUAUUAUGGUUAGUAAUAAUAGUUAAAAUCAUUAUAAUUGAAGUUUAUGGUUAUUAGUGACGGACCUGAUUAGCGAAACCGAUACCAAAACCAAGCAAGAUACGGCCGACGAUGAGCAUCCAAACGUGUUUAGCAAAGCCAUUGAUAAGAGCUCCGGCACAGAUCGACAUCACCACAACGAAGAAGGCAAACACAAGGAAUAAACCGAACUUCAAAUGGCAAAGCAUCGUCAGGAAGAUCUGCGCGAUUAUAAACGUGAAGAUCAUGUUCACUGACACCGUGAUACUCUGAGCGGCUGACCUUAUCUCCAACGGGAAGAUCUCACUAGGUACUAACCACCCUAGCGGACCCCAUGACCACGCGAAACCCGCCACAUAGAUGCAUAUAAAUGUUACAACCACUAUAGCAUACCACUUUGGUAGCUCACCAGGGGUCCCGUCUACCCCAAACUUGGCCCCGAUGCAUGCAGCAACCACAGCCUAUAAUCACAUAAGACAAAACGAACACCAUAUUUUCAUUAGUUUAAUGGAUAGAGACUAGUGCAUGCAAAUAGUUUUGAAAUCAUAUACAUGAGGACUAAAUCAUGAUAUAUUAACGUUUCUAUCUAAUUAUAAUUGAUAUCUAGACAUUCAUUUACGUCAUCAUGUAUUCGUAUAUUAAUGUUCUUACCCAAUAAAAUCACUCUCUUGGCACAUAUAAAGUCAAGUAUAAGUUCAUAUCAUGAUAUCAAACGGUUUAUAUCCAAUUAUGUUUAUAUAUGUUUAUAGAUCAUGACUUCAUAUGAUAAGUCAAAUAUGUUAAUGUCUGAUUAAAUUAAGAAAGUAGAUAUAUGUGUUUCCUUACCUGGCAUAUUAGCAUUUGUGUACCGCCUUCGAGGAAUAGAAACCUACGUCCCCACUUGUCAACACCGUAGAUCGACACAAGCGUGGCGGCGACGUUAACCGAGCCAGUUACCACGGCGGACAUGAGAGACGCAUCGGUCGUGAAACCAAUGGUGUUGAACAAAACGGGAGCGUAAAACAUAAUCACAUUGAUUCCGGUGAGCUGCUGAAAGAAGGGAAUCAUAAUGGCCAUGGUGAGAUGCGGCCGGUAUUUACGGCGGAGGAGGUUUUUCCACGGAUGCUCUAUCGACUGAGACUCUUUACUAGCUGCUACUAAAUCGUCAAACUCUUGGCUGACGUCAUCGACGCCACGGAUUCUUCUGAGCUUGGUUUUCGCCUCCUCGUGCUGGCCUCGCUCGAUCAUUGAGUUAGGAG
rnacentral:lncRNA from 1 species